AGGUGAGCUGGCUGUGACAUUUGUUACCUCAUUCAUCUCCAGGGUUAGUCAGGUCAUCUGGUUGGCUAGGUGGAUGUCCCCUUCCUCCCUUGCGUCCUUCCUGAAGCCGUGCACUUGAUGGAAGAAAACUAUCAUCCUUGUGGAGAGGACCAUUUCCUCAGCUC
rnacentral:snRNA from 1 species